GGAAAUGAUGCUCUGCUUCUCCGUCAGUGGGGUGUUCAAGGAAGUGGAAGGAAGUUCUCAGGGCUGCGUGCGUGCCUUCACCCGGACCUUCAUCGCUACCCCUGCCAGGUACUCCAGUCUUUGCAUCG